rnacentral:rRNA from 1 species
AUGAAGAUGACAAGCACCCAGCGUAGUGAGAGCGCAAACCACAUGCUGAAAUCAUACAUGCCCCCUCCAAGCCCAAUGCAUGUCUUUGUCAGGCAGUACAUGAGGCCCCAAUUUGACCGUGAGCACGAUGAGAGCUACGAGGAGAAAAGGACCAUGAUUGGCGGCCUGAUGAGACGGACUAACCUCGUAAUAGAGCGGCAUAUGCUAGCAAAAUAUACACUAGGAGCAUGUUUGAGGAAUUUGGUCGCCUACUAA